rnacentral:tRNA from 1 species
AUUAUUUUGGCAGAUUAGUGCAAUAAAUUUAGAAUUUAUGUAAGUAUGUAAGUACAAAUAAUAAU